rnacentral:rRNA from 1 species
GAUGAACGCUGGCGGCGUGCUUAACACAUGCAAGUCGAACGGAAAGGCCCAAGCUUGCUUGGGUACUCGAGUGGCGAACGGGUGAGUAACACGUGGGUGAUCUGCCCUGCACUUCGGGAUAAGCCUGGGAAACUGGGUCUAAUACCGGAUAGGACCCCAUUUUGGAUGGUGUGGUGGAAAGUUUUUCGGUGUGUGAUGAGCUCGCGGCCUAUCAGCUUGUUGGUGGGGUAAUGGCCUACCAAGGCGUCGACGGGUAGCCGGCCUGGGAGGGUGUACGGCCGCAUUGGGACUGAGGGACGGCCGAGACUCCUACGGGAGGCAGCAGGGGGGAAGAUUGCACAAUGGGCGCAAGGCUGAUGCAGCGAGGCCGCGUGGGGGAUGACGGCCUUCGGGUUGUAAACUCCUUUCGCUAGGGACGAAGCGUUAUGUGACGGUACCUGGAGAAGAAGCACCGGCUAACUACGUG